rnacentral:rRNA from 1 species
CACGUAGGCACCGAGCGUUGUCCGAAGUUACUGGGCGUAAAGCGCGCGUAGGCGGGGGGUUAAGUGAGAGGUGAAAGGCUGGGGCUCAACCUCAUGCAGUGCCUCUCAUACUGGCCUUCUUGAGGGCGGUAGGGAGAAGUGGAAUGGCUGGUGUAGCGGUGAAAUGCGUAGAUAUCAGUCGGAACACCGGUGGCGAAGGCGGCUUCUUGGGCCGUUCCUGACGCUGAUGCGCGAAAGCUGGGGGAGCGAACGGG